GUCGAGGUUCAGCACGAGCGGGACAGGAGAGGGACAGCAGAGCGAGGAGGACGAGGAGCAGGAGGGAGCUCAAGCAGAGGGUGCGGGUCAUCGUGACUGAAAGGAGGGGGUCUGCAGACACAUCCUGAGACUUAAAACUACUGUGGAUACAUUAAAUUCAAACAGCCAGCCAGUAGAGAACCGAGGAGGCCUGGAUAUUAAACGGACCAACGCUGACAUCCUCUGGACAAAAUAGUUCAGUGACCUAGAGAGCUUCUAAAGUGAGACUGAAGUGCUUCUUACCCAGCAGUUGCCCCUGCCUGCUGUGUGACAGGAAGACAGGUCUUAAGUGGAAUGGGAAGGAC